GCCCGGUUAGCUCAGCCGGUAGAGCACCAGACUGUUAAUCUAGCUCUCACGGGUUCGCACCUGCAUCGGUUC
rnacentral:tRNA from 1 species